GGAGAAAAGCAGGGGAUCGCAAGACCUUGCGCUCAUUGAGCGGCCGAUGCCUGAUUAGCUAGUUGGUGAGGUAAAGGCUUACCAAGGCGACGAUCAGUAGCUGGUCUGAGAGGACGACCAGCCACACUGGGACUGAGACACGGCCCAGACUCCUACGGGAGGCAGCAGUGGGGAAUUUUGGACAAUGGGGGAAACCCUGAUCCAGCCAUGCCGCGUGAGUGAGGAAGGCCUUCGGGUUGUAAAGCUCUUUCAGCCGGAACGAAACGGUCACGGCUAAUACCUGUGACUACUGACGGUACCGGAAGAAGAAGCACCGGCUAACUACGUGCCAGCAGCCGCGGGAAUACGUAGGGUGCGAGCGUUAAUCGGAAUUACUGGGCGUAAAGCGUGCGCAGGCGGUUUUGUAAGUCUUAAGGGAAAUCCCCGGGCUU
rnacentral:rRNA from 1 species